UACGGGGGGAGCAAGCGUUGUUCGGAUUUACUGGGCGUAAAGAGCGUGUAGGCGGUCCGGUAAGUCCGCUGUGAAAGUCGGGGGCUCAACCCUCGAAUGCCGGUGGAUACUGUCGGGCUAGAGUGCGGAAGAGGCGAGUGGAAUUCCUGGUGUAGCGGUGAAAUGCGCAGAUAUCAGGAGGAACACCUAUUGCGAAGGCAGCUCGCUGGGACGUAACUGACGCUGAGACGCGAAAGCGUGGGGAGCAAACAGG
rnacentral:rRNA from 1 species